rnacentral:rRNA from 1 species
AGUACCCGUAGGAAGAGAAAACAACCGUGAUUCCGGGAGUAGUGGUGAGCGAAACCGGAGGAGGCUAAACCGUAUGUGUGUGAUACCCGGCAGGGGUUGCGCAUGCGGGGUUGUGGGAUUUCAUUGCAAUGGUCUGCCGGCUGUUGGACGAGUGAGAAACCGUAUGGAUAGGCGAAGGGCAUGCGAAAGGCCCGGCGUAGAGGGUAAGACCCCCGUAGCUGAAAUCUGUACGGCUCGUUUAUGGAACACCCAAGU